ensembl:rRNA 5S_rRNA 5S ribosomal RNA
AUCUAUGUCCAAACCACCCAGAUUCCAGAAGCUAAGCAGUGGUCAGUACUUGGAUGAGAGACCACCUGGGAAUACUGAGUGCUGUAAGCU